ensembl:processed_transcript A330087D11Rik RIKEN cDNA A330087D11 gene
UUCUUCGCUAUAAAAGUAAUGAAGAAAGGAAGACAAUUCUGAGCAGUGGGAUACCAGCACUUCAAUUCAAUAGCAAACACCAAACAUUAAUCAGUACAGGUGGCACAAUCCAGCAGAAACUGGAAGGCUCCACUGAAUCAGCAUGAGUCAGCUGAAGCAGCAAGAAAUAGCUGGAAUACCACAAGAAGUUCUUUGGAGUUUUUCUCUCUAUGAAGUGAAGUCCAAUGAAGCAUUGCACAGCCAGUGGAAGCCAGUGAAGUGUUGCAUGGCCAGCAAAGACCAGCAAAGGCUGGCAAAAACCAGCAAGCCAUUGCAAUACAAAAGUGUCCUCUGUGUUUGUGGGGUUCUGUUUAUCUUCUUUCUAAACGUCACACACCCUCUCAAGAGUCUGUUUUCAGCAACACGCCACAUGCUUUCUUUUAAAAUAGCUUCUGGAAAAACAUCAUGGUGGACAACUGAAUUUUUAAAUAAACCAGAAACUUCCACUUCAGGAUGCACUUGAAAUUGGGAGUUCCUGGAGCCUCAUUUUAAAGACUUGAACUACAGUUUCCUUAUACUCCUGC